rnacentral:lncRNA from 1 species
UAAUUUAUUCAGCUUCUAAUUCAUCUCCCACAAUUUAUGGUGAUUUUCCAAAGUCAUGUUACUACUGCUGUCCCAAACAGAUUUAUUACCAAAUCACUCUUUCAUACACCUAUCUUGCAUGCAUGUUAUUUAAACAUGUAUAUCACCAAUCAAUCAUCACAUAUAUAUGAUUUUUACUUAAGCAUAAUCUCCAUUUCAUCAUUUUAAAGCACAACAUGUUAG